CUGACUUGGAAAGUACACAAUCUUUCUGAGUUUGUGCUGCCAGCUGCAAUUUUUAAAAUGUUUUGCUUGUUUGUUUUUGGGUUUUUGGUUUGUUUUUUUUGUUUGUUUGUUUGUUUGUUUUGUUUUGCUUCUGGACAUUCAAAAGUGCACCAAAGAGUUAUACACUAAACAGGCAGAAGGUUGCAAAGGCAGCUGCAAAAAUUAAUGUGAUGCUUCUGUUGCUUCCAGGUAAUACUAAGCCAAGAUUGCAUUCCUGCAUUUGUAUGUUGUUAGAAGCAAAGAUGUCCCAUUAUUUUCAAGAUGGAAAUACUUCAAUGUCAGAGUUAUAUUCUUGGAAUUUCAUCUUGGACUUUCACGAUGUUUAACUGGAGACAUGGAGAAGUGAUGACUGUGGCUCUUCCAAGGAGACAGGAAAUCGGAUUGUGAGCAAUCUCACAGCAUGAACACCAAGUCUCUGAUGUCUGACCACUAACAAGUCAUACAUCAGGACAUUUCCAGACACUGGAAACUCACCCUACGCAAGUGAGCCAGCUGGCCAGCUAUCUGAGUGAUGUGCUGAAAAACAUGUGUUGUCACACUGAUGAAGGAAAA